UCUGACACCGUGGCUUCCCUUCCCACCAGUUUUGUUUAGAUACUGGAGAUGGACCUAGGGGCGCUUCACCGCUGAGCUACAUCUUCAUCCCUUUUAUUUAUUGUGUUUAUUUGUUUGUUUGUUUGUUUGUUUUUGGUGUUGCGGAUUGAAAACCCAGCGUUUUCUUUCUUUUUUUUUAAUCGGUACCCGGGAUUGAACUCACGACCACCUGCUUGCGAGGCAGGUGCUUAUCCCCAGUUCCGCCCUCCCCCAGCGUUUUCUAAAUGUGCUACAUCCCCACCCCGCUGUGCUCGAAAUUUUGAUCCCCUUGCCUCAACCCCACUCCCCCGAAUUGCAGGCAUUACGGCCAUGAGCUACCGAGCAGAGCUAAAUUCCUCAUUUUUGUAUCUUAUGGUGCAUGUAAAUUCCCAUAAAGUGUUCAACAAUUUCCACCAUAUAAAGUGAUUUGGUUGUAGCAUGCAUGGUUUUAUAGAAUCUACCACUUUCUGGUACUGUUCUCUUCAACUGUAACCACAGGUUCCAUCCAAACAAUUUUAAAGGUCCUGAUGUUCUUCCUAAAAUGAGUUUGGUGAUUAGAAAUCUGCAGCGCACGAUUCCCAUUAGGAGAGUGCCACUUCGCAGGAACGUGGAAAUUGUAAGGAAUAUUUUAGGAGUGGAGAAAUUUGACCUGGGGAUUAUCUUUCUUGACAACAAGAAUAUUCAACACAUUAACAGGAUCUACAGAAAGAAAAAUAUCCCAACUGAUGUGCUUUCGUUUCCAUUUUAUGAGAAUCUGAAAGCAGGUGAAGUUCCCCAGCCCAGUUUUCCAGAUGACUAUAACUUGGGAGACAUUUUCUUAGGAGUGGAGUAUAUCUUCCAGCAAUGCAAAGAAAAUGAAGAUUACUAUGACAUUUUGACUGUGACAGCCACUCAUGGACUCUGUCACCUACUGGGGUUCACACAUAACUCGGAAGCAGAGUGGCACAAGAUGUACCACCAGGAGAAGCAGGUGCUGGAGGAGCUAAGCCAGCGCACUGGGGCCCAGCUCCAGCCUCUUAGCAGGGGCCUCUUCUGAUGCCACUCUGGGCACUGCAAGACGCAGGGUUGAACCAAGGCUCCGGACCAAGCCUUGCUUAUGCUAGACCUACUCAGACAUUGAAGAUGCUGAACCAGCUCGCCCCCCGGCUCUUCCAAGGUGUCACUGUGGACAUGGCUACCCUGGGCCAAAAGUGGCGUACAGCAGCUAAGGACACAGUGUGAGGACAGCUCCACGCCAGCCGCUCCUGCAGACCAGCCCAGUCCAGCCAUUGGUGCGCACAGAGCCAGGGCUCCCAGUGCUGAGAUGUUCCCUUCACGCCUCCCACCCAGCAAGACCUGAAGCCAGGAUUAACCAGCAGCUGCCACCAGCAACCAGCUUCUCUCUGUAAAUUAAUAUUAUGUUGAGAGAUAAAACCAAACAGAACUGCCAUGUUAGAACAAUCACAAAAAUAGGAAAUCAAGUCAAGCCUUUAAUUCAUGCUUGUAAUACACAGAAUCUGGAAUUACAUUCAGGGGCACACUGGAAGAUGACUGUGAGGGAAACGAUGCCACCACCAGAGCUGGGUGUGUGUCACUCUCCAUCCACCCGUCCACGUGGGCACACACCCUGCUCCUCAGGUUCUGACGCUCACCUGAGAGCCUUAGCCAGAGGUGGGGCUCCAAGCCACUGUGAAGCCUCUCUGACUCAUCUUCCCUUCAACCUGUAAGGUUUUAAGGACAUAAACACUGCUAGUGAAUCAUUUCACAAAUACUUAGUUUGAGCCAGGCAUGAUAGCCCACACCUGUAAUCUGAGCACUCUGAGAGGCUGAGGCAGGAGAAUUGAAAAUUGGAGCUUGGGGCUGGGGAUUUAGCUCAGCGGCAUAAGCACCUGCCUUGCAAGCAGGUGGUCGUGAGUUCGAUCCCUGGUACCGAUAAAAAAAAAAAGAAAAAAUUGGAGCUCAGGGGCCAGGGGUUUAGCUCAGCAGCUUAAGUGCCUGCUUGGCAAACUCGAGGUCGUGAGUUCAAUCCCCGGCACCAAAAAAAGAAAGAAAGCUUGGGCAACUUAAUAACUUAGCGAAAUCCUGUCUCAAAAAAAAAAAAAAAAAAAGAGUUUUGGGAUGUAACUCAUUGCGAAGACCCCUGAGUUCAAUCCACAUACCACCAAGGAAAAGAGAGGCCCUGAAAAGGAAGAAAUAGAAAUUUAUGUGUAAUAGUUUAAAAGAUUCUUUAAAAAAUAACAUUAAAAUGCAAGGGGACCUGAUUCCUCCAGUAAAGUAGAAACAGCAUUAUAGUAGCUAGGUAGCUAUACCCGAAUCCCAGUCCCAACAAAGCAGAAGGGACAGACUGUAGAGAAGCCUGUGCGUUCCCCCCCUCCCCACCCCCUGCUUUGCUGGCCCUGUUGAGCUGGGGCUGAGUUUGGCUGCUGGUCUUCAACAGAGGCUAUAUAGGCAGUAUGUGGGUCCUCUCCCAUGUAGACUAUAACCCAGAGUCCUGGCAUAUGUGUUCCACUUGCUUUACUCACACUGAUGUAGGACCAUUCCACACAUGCAACCAGUAAGGUCCCCAUGCCAGUCCUCAUAGCAUGAAGACUAAGCUAAGUAGACAACUGCGUCACUGAGCAGCAUCCCCAGCCCCAGUGUGACUUUGUUUUGUACCACCCCUAUAAUGUUUUAUGGGUUUGUUUUGUUUUGUAUUUUUGGUGCUAGGGAUUGAACUCAUAACCUUAUACUUGCCUGGCAAGCACUUACACCACUGAGCUAAAUCCCUGGCUUUUGGGGGUUUUUUGCUUUUUGGUGUUUUUUUUGGUACCGGGGAUUGAACUCAAAACCUCAAGUUAGCCAGGCAGGCACUUGUGCCGUGAGCUAUAUCUCCAGCCCUGUUUUAUGUUUUUAUGUGACGGAAACCUUGGAUCUUUUCUUGUAUGCAUGCUGGGCCCUGUUGUCUUAGAUUCUGUCCUGGUGAAACCCUUGUAUUUCCUCUGAGUGGGAGUCACCUGGUUUUCCAGAAGGAUCGUGGUAAGGGACCAAAGAUGAAAGACUUUGCUGCUUACCAAGCUGAAGUAAAUAGGCUUAUACACCUGGAGCCUGUGAGGAGAGGAUGCCACCAGACACCAGCCUAGACGACAAGAGAGGGUGACCCUGGUGUAGCACCUGGGCUGGCCCAACUCACAGGCACCAGUGCUGCAAUAGGGGCACUGCAAGAUCACUCCACAUGGGGGACAUGGAGCCCUCAACCUUCUGGAAGGUAGUAGAAUCUUUCCUGUCCCUUCCAAGCCUUCUGUUGCCACAUGCACCAAACCUUUGCCUCACAGACUUACGUGCUAAGAGCAGGCAGAGCAGUAGGACUGGCCACGUGGCACAUGGUGGGCAGGAAGCUGGUGGCAGGUGGCAGGGAAGUGGCUGCAACCACUGAGGGCCACACAGUGGAACUAAGCUGGGAGCCUGGCAUGGAGCCAGGCUGCAGUUGGGCAGAAGGCACAUAGUGGUGGUGGUGGUGCACUGCAGGUGGCUUCUGCCUCUCAGCUCUCAGGACAGCUGGGCGUGUCCCCCGAGGGUCCUAGCAUAGAGCACACAAUUGGUUCAGGAUGGUGGCCUCUUUCCCCGAACCUGUUCCUGACAGGAAUUGAGUGUGAAGGCAGGAAAGGACAGCAGCUAUAGGUCGAACCUGGGCUCCAGACACACACCCCUUAUAGGAGGGGCAGCAGCACUGGGGCUUCAUAGCUACACUACAGGUUCAACCCAGAGAUGCCCUUCCAGAGCUACCCAGAUGCCCCCCAGUCCACCUGCAGGGCAGAGUGCAGUCCCACAGGUGCCAGUGCAGACGGUAAGGCUUUGAGCAUCAUAUUCUGCAUGAGGAUCUGGUGCAUCUGUGCGUUCUGCAUCAGCAUCAUCUCCACCAUGUCUGGAAGGAGAAACAGGGACUAGAUCUUUGGCUCUGCCUUGGAAAUAAAGUGUUCAUUCCUCACCUCACAAGGACCGAAGAACAUUUUGGCACAAGUGUGACUGUAUUGGAAGACCGAUGGGAUGCUCCAAGAGUGGGACUUCUAGUCAGAGGGGAUCUGUGGAUAAGGGUUUGUGGCCUAUCUGGCUGGCCUCACUGCCCCUCCCAUCCCUCACAUCCCCGGCUGCAUGGUGACCCCAGAACAACAUCCCCCCUACACACAACCACAAGACUCUUAAUGUAACCUUAUUUGGAAAAAGGUUAUAGAUUAAGUUAGGGAUUGUGAAACAAGGAAAUCAUCCUGGAAUGGACCCCGAGUCCAGAGAAGGUGCUGUGUACUAAGAGAGGGGCAGGUCAGGGAAGAGGCUAUGUAGGGAUGGGGACAAGGUCACAAAGAGGCCUAGAGCCACAGGCACAAAAAGACGCAGGCAGGACCCUCUCUGCAGCCUACAGAGGAGUCAGUACUGCCUCCCUCACCUGGACUUUGGAGAUCUGGUCUUCCAAACUGCACAGUAAUAAAAUUCUAUUUAAACCGUC